rnacentral:rRNA from 1 species
CGAAUCAUUCACAAUGGGGGAAACCCUGAUGGUGCAACGCCGUGUGGAGGAUGACGGCCUUCGGGUUGUAAACUCCUGUCACCAAGGAACAAACGGCAGGUUCAUAGCCUGUCCUGAGUUAACUUGGAGAGGAAGAGGUGGCUAACUCCGUGCCAGCAGCCGCGGUAAUACGGAGACCUCGAGCGUUACUCGGAUUCACUGGGCGUACAGAGUAUGUAGGCGGUUCGGUAUGUCAGGUGUGAAAGCCCGAAGCUCAACUUCGGAAUUGCGCCUGAAACUACCGGACUUGAGGCCUGGAGAGGGGAGUGGAAUUCCUGGUGUAGCGGUGAAAUGCGUAGAUGUCAGGAGGAACACCAAUGGCGAAGGCAGCUCCCUGGACAGGUUCUGACGCUGAGAUACGAAAGCGUGGGUAGCGAAAGGGAUUAGAUACCCCUGUAGUCCACGCCGUAAACGUUGUACACUAGGUUUCGGAGGGCCUACCCCUUCGGAGCUCAAGCUAACGCGAUAAGUGUACCGCCUGAGGACUACGGCCGCAAGGCUGAAACUCAAAGGAACUGACGGGGGCCCGCACAACCGAUGGAGCAUGUGGCUUAAUUCGAUGCAACGCGAAGAACCUUACCUAGGCUUGACAUGAACCGGAC